UACCCGCAGCUCAAGUGGUGGUCAUUAUUAUUGGGCCUGAAGCGUCCGUAGCUGGCUUGUUAGAUGCCUGGGUAAAUCGAUGCGCUUAACGUAUCGAAUUCCGGGUAGAUCGGCAAGCUCGAGACCGGGAGAGGCGUGAGCUACUCGAGGGGUAGGGGUAAAAUCCUGUAAUCCUUCGGGGAGGACCAGUGGCGAAGGCGUCACGCUAGAACGGCUCUGACAGUGAGGGACGAAGCCCUGGGGCGCAAACCGG
rnacentral:rRNA from 1 species